GAUGAACGCUAGCGGCAGGCCUAACACAUGCAAGUCGAGGGGCAUCAUGGCGUAGCAAUACGCUGAUGGCGACCGGCGCACGGGUGCGUAACGCGUAUGGAACCUACCCACCGCAGGGGGAUAACCCGCCGAAAGGCGGACUAAUACCCCAUGGUUCCCCGACCCUGCCUGGGGUUGGGGGUAAAGCCUACGGGCGGCGGUGGAUGGCCCUGCGUGCCAUUAGCUGGCUGGUGGGGUAACGGCCCACCAGGGCGACGAUGGCUAGGGGGUCUGAGAGGACGAUCCCCCACACUGGUACUGAGAUACGGCCCAGACUCCUACGGGAGGCAGCAGUAGGGAAUCUUCCGCAAUGGGCGCAAGCCUGACGGAGCGACGCCGCGUGAGUGAAGAAGGCCUUCGGGUUGUAAAGCUCUGUUCUUGAGGAAGAAUAAGCUAAGGAGUAGAAACCUUAGUGAUGACAGUACUCAAGGAGCAAGCCCCGGCUAACUACGUGCCAGCAGCCGCGGUAAUCACG
rnacentral:rRNA from 1 species